rnacentral:rRNA from 1 species
CUUGGAGUCAAGUUAACAAAAAUUUAUUUUUAAAUUGAAAAUAGUUCAUAUGUUAGUUGUGAAAAAAUUUUAAUUAUUUUCAAUAUUAAAGUAAGAAAAAUUUUUCAUGUACUAGGGGUUGACGCCUACUACAUUCUAGGUAAAUAAUUAAAAGCAGUAGAAGCGUAAGCUAGAAACUUAAAUAACAUGGCAGUAUUUUACUCUUUGCAGAGGAGCUUGAAUAUUAAUUAGAUACUCCUCUUUAUGUCUUACUUAAAUUUAUUUUAUGUGUGGUUGUAGACAAUAAAUAUGUAAAUAUAAAUUUAAAUCAGAUGACAUGUAAAUAUAUUUAAGGUAAUUUUAGCUACAAUUAUUAAAUUAUUUAAAAAGUUAAUACCUAAUUACAGGAUUUGCCAGUAGCUGUAUAUUAUAUUUUGCAGCGUAGUAGUUAUAAAAUAUGUACAUAUUGUCCGUCACUCUCAGAGAU